rnacentral:tRNA from 1 species
GCAUUGGUGGCUCAGUGGUGGAAUUCUCACCUUCCAGGUGGGAGACCUGGUUAGAUUCCAGCCAACGCU